rnacentral:lncRNA from 1 species
CCUUUCGGCUGAUCAUUUAUAAGAGAUUUAAAAAAAAAUGUAUUAUGGAUUUAAUUCUGUCUGAACUUCUGCAGAUGCCAGUGAUCAGUCUUCUAAGAGAGAAAAUCUGUCUACGAUCGGUGGAUUUGGAUUUGGAAAGGGUUUUGGAAACAGAGGUUUUUCAAGUAACAAAUUUGAAGAAGGUGAUAGCUCUAGCUUUUAUAGAGAAUCUAAUGACUAUGAAGAUAAUCAGACGAGGAGCAGAGGAUUCACCAGGAGAGGUGGUUAUCAAGAUGGAAAUGAUACAGAAGCUUCAGGGGCAUUGAGAAGAGGUGGACGUGGCAGUUUCCGAGGUUGCCGUGGAGGAUUUGGUCUCACUCACAGUUAGUAGUGGUGAAUUGUGUGCCACCUUGGAUUUAAUGUUGAUGUUACUAAGAUGCCUUCUAGAAUUGGAGUUGAGAGGUACUUUGCAGCUCAGUUUGGUCUUUUUCUGAUAGAGGAAUCGCUUCUAAAACAUCUCAAAAAGUGGUAAUCCACCCCUGUUGUAAUACCUCCGUUGAUGGGAAACUUACUACGUAAUUCUUCUGUUUGAAAAACUGUAAUUUCUGGGUAAUUCUGAUUGAGUUGAAAUUUUGUUUCUAUUCAUUAGUGCUGGUUCUCUUCUUAAAGUGAAACAGAAUAAAUGUAAUCCUUCUUUUACA